rnacentral:tRNA from 1 species
GACCGCGUAGCUCAGUUGGGGGGAGCAUUGGGCUAGUAUUCCAAAGGUCGUAGGUUCGAUUCCCAAUUUCCCACCGUGGUC